rnacentral:rRNA from 1 species
UACGUAGGGCGCAAGCGUUGUCCGGAAUUAUUGGGCGUAAAGAGCUCGUAGGCGGUUCGUCGCGUCGGCUGUGAAAUCCCGAGGCUCAACCUCGGGUCUGCAGUCGAUACGGGCGGACUGGAGUUCGGCAGAGGAGACUGGAAUUCCUGGUGUAGCGGUGAAAUGCGCAGAUAUCAGGAGGAACACCGGUGGCGAAGGCGGGUCUCUGGGCCGAUACUGACGCUGAGGAGCGAAAGCGUGGGGAGCGAACAGG